ensembl:lincRNA
CUUGCCUCAGAUAAUUUGUUCCUGUAAUAAUGCUGAUGUUGCUGUAUCUGUUGGAAGAUCUAUCAUUCUGGUUUGCAUAAAUGGCCGUUAUAACCUUCACACACCAUUGCUGACGUGCAAACAUUGCAAUAAGCAAUGGACUCCAGGGGUCAUUGACUUUGAAAGGAGUGGUUAUUGGCCUGCUACCAUGCAAGCCCAGACCCUAUUCCACCAAGAUCUAUUUCAUUCGUUUGAGGCUAUGAAGACAGCAGCUCCAGGAAUGUCAGUGAAAGCAUUCACAGCACUGCUAGACAAGAGAACAAAGCAGUUUGGAAGAACUGGCAAAGUGAAUGCGGAUGCUUUUCAGAGAAGCUUUUUGCAACAUGUGUACUGCAACUCUGAACAGAACCAACUACUGGGAAAGGAGCCAUUUCUCUGUCCAGUCUGUAGCCCUGAAAUGGUGGCUGUUUAAGUGGAUGGUAACCGAAAACUCUACAGGUUCCAAAAAACAAACCAGGGUCAAGAGCCAGGGUUUUUUAAUGGAGUUUUUUUAGCCCAAGACUCAAUGGUGUCUAAUUUUGUUGAGGAAGUCCGUGGUGCAGUCAAGAGUACACCAGGAAAAGCAAUGUGUGGGGAAUCCCACUGGACAGCAGCAAGAGAGACAUCAAAGCAAGCCAACAAGUUGGAUGAAGAAGGUGUGGAAAUUGCUGUGUGCAGGCAUGGAUUCCUCCUAAAAGGUCUGAAUAUGUAUAGAGGAGAAAUCUUUGCAUAUCCGAUGUAUCUCCAAAAAGGUUUCAAAGAUGCAAAAUUUUUGGCCAUGGAUGUGACCUGCCGUUAUGUGCCAUUCCUGGAGAAAGUGUCAGAAGCCCUGAGUCAUCUUCAACCUCUUCGGAAAAUGAGACAUUGCUUGUCUGUAAUGCAUGCCAAAGCCCACAAUACAAAAUGCGAGAUUCCGUGGAAUGCAAGGAACCAGGAAGGUGCUGGAACCACACUUGGGGAAGAAGUGGAGCAAGUAAAUAAUUUUCUAUCCAGAUGUGCCCUGACCACAAAAUAUAUGACCAAGUCAGUAAGAACUGAUAUGCUUACGGUCCAUGCAAUUGGGUGGAAUCAGCGUAAAGAGAAUGGACUGCACAUUGCCUUGUCUUCUAGAUUUAAAAAGACAGUGCAAAAGACCUUGACUGCAACAGAGAAUCUGAAGAUGAUGCAGAAUCAAUUCCAUUGUAGUGAUGACACAGUAAAACAGUGGGUUAUUGAUGUCAAGCAGUGGGCAAGCAGUGGAAAUGCUACAGCCAGUCCUGUUGGUGCUCAUGGCUUGCAGUUGUCCAUCGAAACGCUCUUUGUGAGCAUUUGUCAGAAAAAGCAUUAUCUUUAUAGGCAGAAUGAUCGGAACAAAAGGCGUCAGAGGAUUACUCAAAAGAUUGCCCAAGAAAAGAAACGCUUGGUCGCAGAGAUCCAGAGAUAUAACCAGCAACCUAAUGCUGACCCUGUGGACACAAACUUAGUUGUACAGCAACUGUCCAACAAAGCAGAAGAGAUCAUGAUCUGGCCUUGGCAGGAACAGAACACAG